rnacentral:rRNA from 1 species
AUUGAACGCUGGCGGCAUGCCUUACACAUGCAAGUCGAACGGUAACGGGCCUUCGGGUGCCGACGAGUGGCGAACGGGUGAGUAAUGCAUCGGAACGUACCUUUCAGUGGGGGAUAACGUAGCGAAAGUUACGCUAAUACCGCAUAUUCUGUGAGCAGGAAAGCAGGGGCUCGCUAGACCUUGCGCUGAUUGAGCGGCCGAUGUCAGAUUAGCUAGUUGGUGAGGUAAAGGCUCACCAAGGCAACGAUCUGUAGUGGGGCUGAGAGGUUGAUCCGCCACACUGGAACUGAGACACGGUCCAGACUCCUACGGGAGGCAGCAGUGGGGAAUUUUGGACAAUGGGGGCAACCCUGAUCCAGCCAUGCCGCGUGAGUGAAGAAGGCCGUCGGGUUGUAAAGCUCUUUCGGUCGGGAAGAAAUCGCAUGGGUUAAUACCCUGUGCGGAUGACGGUACCGGCAUAAGAAGCACCGGCUAACUACGUGCCAGCCGCCGCAGUAAUAC